rnacentral:rRNA from 1 species
AACGAACGCUGGCGGCAUGCCUAACACAUGCAAGUCGAACGAGACCUUCGGGUCUAGUGGCGCACGGGUGCGUAACGCGUGGGAAUCUACCCUCAGGUUCGGAAUAACUCAGAGAAAUUUGAGCUAAUACCGGAUGAUGACGUAAGUCCAAAGAUUUAUCGCCUGAGGAUGAGCCCGCGUAGGAUUAGGUAGUUGGUGAGGUAAAGGCUCACCAAGCCGACGAUCCUUAGCUGGUCUGAGAGGAUGAUCAGCCACACUGGGACUGAGACGCGGCCCAGACUCCUACGGGAGGCAGCAGUGGGGAAUAUUGGACUAUGGGCGAAAGCCUGAUGCAGCAAUGCCGCGUGAGUGAUGAAGGCCUUAGGGUUGUAAAGCUCUUUUACCCGGGAUGAUAAUGACAGUACCGGGAGAAUAAGCACCGGCUAACUCCGUG